rnacentral:rRNA from 1 species
UGGGGGAUAUUGCGCAAUGGGCGAAAGCCUGACGCAGCGACGCCGCGUGGGUGAUGAAGGCCUUCGGGUCGUAAAGCCCUGUCGAGGGGGACGAAACGGCUCCGACCUAACACGUCGGGGCUCUGACUGUACCCCUAAAGGAAGCACCGGCUAACUCUGUGCCAGCAGCCGCGGUAAGACAGAGGCCACGAACGUUGUUCGGAAUCACUGGGCAUAAAGCGCACGUAGGCGGCUAGGUCCGUCCGAUGUGAAAGCCCCCGGCUCAACCGGGGAAUUGCAUCGGAUACAGCCUGGCUUGAGGACGGUUGGGGUGAGUGGAACUCCUGGUGGAGCGGUGAAAUGCGUAGAUAUCAGGAGGAACACCGGUGGCGAAAGCGGCUCACUGGACCGUUACUGACGCUGAGGUGCGAAAGCUAGGGGAGCAAA